rnacentral:rRNA from 1 species
GAUGAACGCUGGCGGCGUGCUUAACACAUGCAAGUCGAACGAAGCACUUUACCUGAUUUCCUUCGGGGAUGAUUGUUCUGUGACUGAGUGGCGGACGGGUGAGUAACGCGUGGAUAACCUGCCUCACACAGGGGGAUAACAGCUGGAAACGACUGCUAAUACCGCAUAAGCGCACGGCACCGCAUGGUGCAGUGUGAAAAACUCCGGUGGUGUGAGAUGGAUCCGCGUCUGAUUAGCUUGUUGGCGGGGUAACGGCCCACCAAGGCGACGAUCAGUAGCCGGCCUGAGAGGGCGACCGGCCACAUUGGGACUGAGACACGGCCCAGACUCCUACGGGAGGCAGCAGUGGGGAAUAUUGCACAAUGGGGGAAACCCUGAUGCAGCGACGCCGCGUGAGCGAUGAAGUAUUUCGGUAUGUAAAGCUCUAUCAGCAGGGAAGAUAAUGACG